AAGUCCACGCAGCAGUAUUUCUCCAUGAGCGGAACAUUGCUUGUCUUUGUGUAUGAAAGGGAGCGGAGAGAGAGAGCAGGCUUGACCCAUGCCUUUGGCCUGUCUUAUAUAAACAGAGAUAAUAAUCCAGGCUGCAAAAGAAACUACGGUCAUUUGUUCCAAAGAGCUGUCAAGAUGAAGACGCAGUCGACAAGCCUUCGAGUUAAGUUACCUGUGUUUGUGUUUGUAACAGAGGUGAUAAUUGUUUUCUUGUAUGCUGCUUUUGUCACCUACGAUGAGCAUGCAGAUGCCAAAUUUCAGACUAACACAACUAACCCCAUGGACAAUGCAGUGUACCGAGAUUACCCUUUUUUUACUGACAUACAGGUCAUUAUAUUCCUUGGCUUUGGGUGCCUGCUUGCAUUUUUUCGACUGUAUGGUUUUGGGGGGAUGGUUUUUAACUUCCUCACGGCUACUUUUGCCAUCCAGUGGGCCAUUUUGGUGCAGGGGUACUUCCAGUUCAGCCAUGACGGUAAGAUCCACCUCGGAGUGAUCAACCUAAUAAAUGCAGAGUUCGCCUGUGCUGUGGUGCUGAUAUCUUUCGGGGCAGUGCUGGGGAAGACAAGUCCUUUGCAGCUGCUGGUCAUGGCUCUGCUGGAAGUGCCAGUGUUCGCAGUCACUGAGUGGGCCGUGCUGAAGUAUCUGAAGAUAAACGAUGCAGGAGGCUCUAUUCUCAUUCACCUCUUUGCCUGUUAUUUUGGUUUGGGUGUCACAUUUGUAUUGUACAGGCCUGGCCUAAAAGAAGGCCACGUAAAGGAGAACACUAGCUACCAGUCCGACAUCCUGUCUGUCAUGGGGACCUUGUUCCUCUGGGUGUUUUGGCCCUCCUUCAACUCAGCAUUAACCCUGAAAGGAGACGACCAGCACAGAGCCAUCCUCCACACCUUCAUCGGCCUCAGCGCCUCCACGCUCACAGCCUUUGCUCUCUCCACCAUGCUGAACAAAAACGGCAAGCUUACCAUGGCUGAUGUUCAGAACGUGACCCUUGCUGGAGGCGUGACAGUCGGGGCAUCUGUGGACAUGAUGAUAUCUCCUGCAGCUGCAUAUGCCCUCGGUAUGAUUGGCUGCACUGCAUGCAUGCUAGGCUACAAGUACUUGAGCCCCUUCCUGGCGCGGCGCUUCAGGAUCCAGGAUCAGUGUGGAAUACAUAAUUUGCAUGGUCUAACAGGACUUAUAUCCUGUACUGCAGGGAUAUGUGCUAUACUGAUGGCAACCGAGGAGGUUUACGGCCCCAGUUUGUAUGAGAUCUUUACCCACAGAGCACCAGUGGAAGGAGACCCUAAGCUGCAAGAGCUGCAGAUGUUGAUCCCCAGUUUACAGCCAGGGUUGGGGAGGACUGCCCGGGAACAGGCUCUCUUCCAGGUCGCAGCUGUGUUCGUUACCAUAGCAGUGUCAGCGCUGGGAGGCAUCCUCACAGGCUUCGUCUUGAAGCUGCCGUACCUCGCAUCACCAUCCGACGAUUUCUGUUUUGACGAUGAGCUGUUUUUUGAUGUUCCUCGGGACUAUGAUUCACCACUUAAAUUCAGUAACAUAAGUUCAACAGAGGAUUCUUCUGCCUGACCUGCAACAGCCAAGUGUGGUCAGUGCAGGUGACUGAAGGAGAAAAUGUAAAUAAGCCUGUAUUUGUCUUUAUACGUCAUGGAAUUUACCAUCACUCAACAGUGGGAUACUAUUAAUUAAAUGUUUAUAUCCAUUACAUUGUAUACAAGUUGAAUUAGUGAUCAUAAAUAAUAAUGAAAAACAGUGCCAGUGCAGAGACAUUGUCCAACGCUGUCUACUACAAAUAGUAAUGGUGUUAUUUAUUGUCCAACAUGCAAACGGAGGAAAUAGACUGUUAUAGCUCUCUUGGCCACUUUGUCAAAAGUUUGUGAUGUGAAAUAAACUCUUUUUAAACUGUUUGCCAAUUUUGUGGAUGGAUGUGCACCAUCUUUUUUUCAAGGGGGUCUCUUCAGACACAAAAACAUGGACUUAAACAAACAAUUUAAAAACAACUAAACGUAUAAAAUUAAAUAAAUUUAAAGCAGCAAAAAUAUAUGUGCAAUAACAUAAACACGCAUAAGAAAACCAGGCUGUUACAAGCAUCUACACGAAACUAAUGACAAGUAAAAUGAAUGAAAAACUGCCAAACCAAAUACACCUAAAACACUUUGACAAAUACUGUUAAAGGGUAAAGACGGUAUAUGAUGUUAAUAUAAUCCAUAACAAAAAGUUAAAGAUGGGAUACAAUUACUUUUAAAACUUGAAUGCGCAGCUUGGAUGUUAAUGUAAUGUAGGGAAGUUGACAUUUCCUUUUAAUUAUCAGUAGAUGGCGACACAGAGCCGUGAAAUAAUUUGACCUGCCUGUGUUCUCGCGUGGAAAAGCGCGAUUCCAAAGACAUCAGGGGCGUUUGUGCCAUCUGUUAUGUGUUACAGGUAGACAGGAGGAAGACGGGUGUAAUUCGACGAAACGACUUGUGCAAAAUGUGUUGAGAAUAUGUUAGUCAGCGGCCCUGCAGACCAAAAGCUAACGUCAAAAUUAUACCAAUGGCCAAAAAUCGAUGGAUUUACUUAGCAACGUGCUUCGACCUUCCUGUCUUACCUUCCUGUCUUCACCGGAAGUGGGGAGGUGCCUGCUGCUCGUUUUCGCCUUGAGCCCGCGCCUGCAGUUUAGCAAAUACCUGACCGUUUUAUGACCAUUGGUAGAGCUGGGAUUGCUUCUGCUAUUUACGCUAAUUAGACCAGUUAUCCUGCACAGCGCUGAGUUGAUCUGUUAUAAUAGCGACUGGUCAACGUUUUGGUGUUUUGUUAUUAUCUUUUUAAUAAUAUGAUAUCAGAACAGUCAAGUUGACUGGCUCAUGUGCACAGUGGAGACUCAUAUGUUAUUGUUUUUAACACUAUUUCUCACAGUCCAGUUUAUCAAUGACAUUAUUAUUGUCUAACAAGCUAAUUAUUCUAAAUUAUAUUAUCAAUAAAUAUAUAUUAUACAGUUGAGUGAAAAGUUGUGUUUGAAUUCAUACUUAUAAAUCACCAAAAACUGCAGGUUUAGUGAUAGUUUGUGGUAACUGCAAAUAACCUGCAUCAUCUGUGAUCUUGCAAUUUUUCACUAUAGAAACAACAAGUUAAUGUGCAAGCUUUUAAAUAUAUGUAAAAUAAGAUAUUAAUGAUCUAAAACAGAAUAUGGAGAAGAAUUUAAAAGAGGCAGUGGCAAACAAAAGUGACAAUUUAAAAGACCUCAAGUUUUAAAGGAGGUUGCAUUAAGAUGUAAUGCAUAGACACUGACAGCGUUGUGUUUUGACCCUACACUGACUUAGACUAAACCCUAGAUCUUUAGGAUAUUUAAUAUUUAACUAUUUUUAGAGGCUAUAAAAGGCUGGUCCCUGUGAGUGUAUAUAGUAUCCAUUUUGGUUACAAUAUUAUUACUAAUGCAUAAAUGUUAAUCAGCAUGUUUCUCUUGUAAGUGGAUGAGGUGGAGCUCAUUUUGUACUGGGCUGCAACUAAUUAUUAUUGCAACUUAUUUUCAUUGUGGAUUAAUCUGCUGAUUAUUUUCUUGAUCAAUCAAUUUAUUCUAUAUUACAGUCACAAUAAAACAAAGCUCAAACCUUCAAAUGUUUUGUCUGAGCAACAGUCCAAACCUCAAUAUUAUUUGAUUCAUGGUGAUUUAACAAGAAAAAGGGCAAAUCUUCAGACUCGAGAAGUUGAAAUUUUGAAAUGUGUCAGGCAUUUUUACAUGAGAAAUAACUUAAACGAAUAAUCAUUUAUCUAAACAGUUUAAUGUUAUAUGUUAUAUUAUACAAGGUAUAAUGUUAUAUAUGAUAAAUGGUUUAACCUGUCGGGUUGGCAAGUUUUAAAAGUUCUUCAUAUGUUUUGUAUUUAAAAUCUUGAUUUGUAAAGUAACUUGUAACUGAAGAUGUCAAAUAAUUGUAUUGUAGGGUAAAAAAUAUGAAAUGUAGUGGAGCAGAAGUAGAACGUGUCAUGAAAUGCUAAUACUAAAUUAAAGUACAGAUACCGCAAAUGUGUAGUUAAGGACAGUACUUGAGUAAAUAGUUCCACCACCGACAGUUUGCCUGUAGGGGUAGAGACUUGUUUGAAGAACUGAGCGGUGAAGUACUUGUUAGCUCCGGUAGGUGGCAGUAAGGCAACACCAAACAUUGCCGCAGUCAUAAACCUUCAAAGCAGCAGAAGAAGACGACGACGACGAAGAAGGCAGGCGAGCAUUUUGAGGCCAGGCCACGACCUGCUACGAUAGUUGCUAACAUUGAAAAAGAAAGGUUACAUAACAUCGAAAAUUGUGAUUGCAUCUUAACAUUGCGUGAUCUGCCGGGAAGGAGACGUCGAGAAGAGUCUCUUCAGCAGCACAUUUUCCGUGAUAUUUUGACUUUGGCACAUCAUUUCGCCAAUUUGAAACGGAUCAUCAUGGCUGAUGAUUUUGACGUUGAGGCCAUGCUGGAGGCUCCAUACAGAAAGACUUCCCUAAUGAUAUCUCACCUCUACUCCCAUGAAUUCAUCUUUGAUUCCACUGUGAACUGUGAAAAAAAGGAAGGUAGUUAUUGUGCAUAUACUGAUGUACUGUGGUUCACUUUAGGACUAAAAGAGAUUCAACCUAGAACAUCCAAUCCGUAUUCGGUUGCAACAAGGUGAAUGCCAAUGGUUGAUAAGCCCAUCCUUAACUGUCCAGCAAAGGAGGCAGUAUUCAGAUUUACAGUCUGCAUGCCAUCACUGUCUCUGAAUAUGCAGCCCCAUAUAAUCAGAUUUAAACGCCAGUUCUGGAAUAGAGAAACAAGUGUCUCUCACCGUGUGGCUUUGACAAGAUGCAUCGCUCGGUCACCUUUUAACUAAUUUAAUUUGAACCAAAUUGCUCUUCAAGUAAGAAUCGUCAUGUAUUAAACUGUGAAUGGAAAAAUGAUCUCCCAAAGUUAAUUAGGGAUACUCAAUUGUGUUUGUAUCGGACUAUAACUGUUCUAAAUCCAAAAGCUGUACUUUGACAACAGUAUGCUUGAAAAUGUAGAUAUUGCCGUUGUGGAUUUCUGACCAAACACGUGAGCCAUGUCAUGAUUUUAUGUCAAAUUAAAGGUAAAUAAUUAUUUUCUCUUGUUUGUAAAUAUGAAUACUGCCUCUUUGCCUUAGUCAACUAUAAUGUGAAUCAGCAUCUUGAUUGUGCAUGCGCCACAGAUAUUGAUAUAUUACUAGAAUGACUGUAAAAUGGAUACAUCUAUCUAGCAUCAUUGUAUUAUAAAGUGAGUUUUCAGUAGUUAAUAAUUCCUCCUUAAAUCAAAAGGUUGGAAGUAUUUUUAUAUCAUGCAAACUAAAGAUAAUGGCAGUAUAACACGUGGCUGAAUUGAUGGAUUUAUUUCAGUUUUUUUAUUUUUUUUAUUUAUUCAUUUCUUUUCUUGGGCGUCAAUAUUACUAAGAAGUGUGAAUCCCUGUUUGCUUCAGGGCAAGAUGUGUGACAGAGGUGGCAUCGAGCUCUUACAGUCCAAGAACGAAAAUGGGUGAAGAUCACUGGACUGACACCAACCACACAGGAUCUCUUUUAGUGGCCGUGGGCCAUGCGUGGUCACAUGAUUAGGCACAAAUAGUGGCAGUGGCAUUGGUACGACCUAGUGGAAGGGGAAUGGUGGAGAUGAUCUGGCUACUGUCAAAGCUUCCUGAACUCUGCUAAUAUGUUGGACACUCCCUUAACUUUGCUUUGUUGCAUUACUGUACUGAGCAGCCUUGUUUUAAAAAAAUAAAAAUAAAAAAAAUAACUGGAGUGGGAUGGGAUCUAUUGGGGUGGUGGAAGGACACUGUCCAGAUAUGACAGUAGGAAAUUUUAAGUACUAUUAUUAAUUGAAUAUAUUCUGCAUUUUCUCUUGUCCCACCCCCAUCCCCUUUACCUUGACGACUUGAAAUGUUUCAUCUACGUCCUCAUGAUGUUCUUCUAUCAACCUUGCUUAGGAUGAGAUCAAGUCCUCUCAUGCAAAUGGACACGACGACCAGAACAAGAAGAAAAGAAGGAGCCGAAGCAGGAGCCGAAGUCCCGGCUCUAGGAAGA